GAUUGGUUGUGUUGUCAGCUUGAUUGCAGUGUUUCAGGUGGUGGGCCUUAAUCACAGAAUCAGAGAAUUCAGGGUUGAAAGGGACCUCAAGAGAUCAUUGAGUUCAACCCCUCAACUAAAGAAGGAUCCCUACAAUAGGUCACACAGGGGAAGGGCUCACCAACCCUACCUAGCCCACUGAGCAGUAGAAGAGAAGGAGAUGAACUCCACUGUUCAAAACUCUUGCAUGAUGUCAUAUGCAUCAAAAACAUAGCAUCACAACAGACAACGUGAAGAAAAAAUCCAUUCAAGCUGAACUAAGACAAUGGGUAAUCAUUUUACUGUUUCUGGAGUAUUUUCUACAGAAAUAUAUAGAUAAAAUUUCUCAUGUAUAAGUUUGGAAAUAUACUGAGAAAUGUCAAUAAUAAAUUGUUUUUAAGAUGCUUAUUUGAAAGAGCCAAGACAUAAAGAAACACAAUAAGUAGAAUUUUCACCUUCGUCUGGUCAUGCUUCCAAUAAAUGGUUGAAAAGGAUGACUUUAAAAUUACAAAUGAAGAUUAUACAAAACAGAAUUUAAGUCAUUAUGUUACGCAAUCUAUGUAUAAGAUAUGAAAGCUCCUACAACAGAGAAAUUAGAUAGGUUCUCCAUUUGUAAGACUGUAAAGUUUCAAAAACUUAGUAUUCUGUGUCAUGAUGAAACUAAGCCUUUUCAAGGGUCUGUUCACUUUUGUCUUUUCCAGUGAAAGCUGUGACUUUUUCUUCGACUGUUUUUCCAUUUUGCGAGUAAAAACAAUAAAGAAAACC
ensembl:lncRNA